rnacentral:tRNA from 1 species
AAUGAAGUGCCUGAAAAUUAAAGGAUUAUCAUGAUAGGAUAAAUCAUGUAAUGUUAUUUAUUACCUUCAUUA